GACGAACGCUGGCGGCGUGCCUAAUACAUGCAAGUAGAACGCUGAAGAGAGGAGCUUGCUCUUCUUGGAUGAGUCGCGAACGGGUGAGUAACGCGUAGGUAACCUGCCUUGUAGCGGGGGAUAACUAUUGGAAACUAUAGCUAAUACCGCAUAACAAUGGAUGACACAUGUCAUUUAUUUGAAAGGGGCAAUUGCUCCACUACAAGAUGGACCUGCGUUGUAUUAGCUAGUAGGUGAGGUAAUGGCUCACCUAGGCGACGAUACAUAGCCGACCUGAGAGGGUGAUCGGCCACACUGGGACUGAGACACGGCCCAGACUCCUACGGGAGGCAGCAGUAGGGAAUCUUCGGCAAGGGGGGCAACCCUGACCGAGCAACGCCGCGGGAGUGAAGAAGGGUGUCGGAUCGUAAAGCUCUGUUGUAAGUCAAGAACGGGUGUGAGAGUGGAAAGUUCACACUGUGACGGUAGCUUACCAGAAAGGGACGGCUAACUACGUG
rnacentral:rRNA from 1 species